GGGCCCGCACAAGCGGAGGAACAUGUGGUUUAAUUCGAUGAUACGCGAGGAACCUUACCUGGGCUUAAAUGUAGAGUGCAUUGGAGGGAAACUUUCAUUUUCUUCGGAACUCUUUACAAGGUGCUGCAUGGUUGUCGUCAGCUCGUGCCGUGAGGUGUCGGGUUAAGUCCCAUAACGAGCGCAACCCUUAUCGUUAGUUGCCAGCGGGUAAUGCCGGGAACUCUAGCGAAACUGCCGGUGUAAACCGAGAGGAAGGUGGGGAUGACGUCAAAUCAGCACGGCCCUUAUGUCCAGGGCUACACACGUGUUACAAUGGCCGGUACAGAGGGGAGCUAUGCUGUGAAGCAAUGCGAAUCUCAAAAGCCGGUCUCAGUUCGGAUCGGAGUCUGCAACCCGACUCCGUGAAGCUGGAUUCGCUAGUAAUCGCGCAUCAGCCAUGGCGCGGUGAAUACGUUCCCGGGCCUU
rnacentral:rRNA from 1 species